rnacentral:rRNA from 1 species
GAUGAACGCUGGCGGCGUGCCUAAUACAUGCAAGUCGAGCGAACAGACGAGGAGCUUGCUCCUCUGACGUUAGCGGCGGACGGGUGAGUAAAAUGUGGAUAACCUACCUAUAAGACUGGGAUAACUUCGGGAAACCGGAGCUAAUACCGGAUAAUAUAUUGAACCGCAUGGUUCAAUAGUGAAAGACGGUUUUGCUGUCAUUUAUAGAUGGAUCCGGGCUGCAUUAGUUAGUUGGUAAGGUAACGGCUUACCAAGGCAACGAUGCGUAGCCGACCUGAGAGGGUGAUCGGGCACACUGGAACUGAGCCACGGUCCAGAGUCCUACGUGCGGCAGAAGUAGGGAAUCGUGCGCGAUGGGCGAAAGCCUGACGGAGCAGCGCCGCGUGAGUGAUGAAGGGCUUCGGGUCGGAAAACUGUGUUAUGGGGGAAGAACAAAUGUGUCAGUAACUAUGCACGUCUUGACGGUACCUGAUCAGAAAGCCACGGCUAACUACGUG